rnacentral:rRNA from 1 species
UACGUAGGGUGCGAGCGUUGUCCGGAAUUAUUGGGCGUAAAGAGCUUGUAGGCGGUUUGUCGCGUCUGCCGUGAAAAUCCGAGGCUCAACCUCGGACUUGCGGUGGGUACGGGCAGACUAGAGUGUGGUAGGGGAGACUGGAAUUCCUGGUGUAGCGGUGAAAUGCGCAGAUAUCAGGAGGAACACCAGCGGCGAAGGCGGCAUCCUGGACUGGUCCUGACACUCAGGAGCGAAAGCGUGGGGAGCGAUCCGG